GCAAGACUAAAACUCAAAGGAAUUGACGGGGGCCCGCACAAGCGGUGGAGCAUGUGGUUUAAUUCGACGCAACGCGAAGAACCUUACCUGGGUUUGACAUCCUGUGAACGUCUAAGAGAUUAGACAGUGCCUUCGGGAGCACAGAGACAGGUGCUGCAUGGCUGUCGUCAGCUCGUGUCAUGAGAUGUUUGGUUAAGUCCAGCAACGAGCGCAACCCUCAUCGUUAGUUGCCAGCACGUAAUGGUGGGAACUCUAGCGAGACUGCCCGGGUUAACCGGGAGGAAGGCGGGGAUGACGUCAAGUCCUCAUGGCCCUUAUAUCCAGGGCUACACACGUGCUACAAUGGUAAAUACAGAGGGCAGCAAGCCAGCAAUGGUUAGCAAAUCCCUAAAGUUUAUCUCAGUCCGGAUUGGAGUCUGCAACUCGACUCCAUGAAGUUGGAAUCGCUAGUAAUCGCGGAUCAGCAUGCCGCGGUGAAUAUGUUCCCGGGCCUUGUACACACCGCCCGUCACACCAUGAGAGUUGAUUAUACCCGACGUCGUUGGGCCAACCUUUUAUUAGGAGGCAGGCGCCUAAGGUAUGGUUGAUAAUUGGGGUGAAGUCGUAACAAGGUA
rnacentral:rRNA from 1 species